GUAGGUGGGCAAGCGUUGUCCGGGAAUUAUUGGGGCGUAAAGCGCGCGCAGGCGGUCCUUUAAAGUCUGAUGUGAAAGCCCACGGCUCAACCGUGGAGGGUCAUUGGAAACUGGGGGACUUGAGUACAGAAGAGGAAAGCGGAAUUCCAAGUGUAGCGGCGAAAUGCGUAGAGAUUUGGAGGAACACCAGUGGCGAAGGCGGCUUUCUGGUCUGUAACUGACGCUGAGGCGCGAAAGCGUGGGGAGCAAACAGGAUUAGAUACCCUGGUAGUCCACGCCGUAAACGAUGAGUGCUAAGUGUUAGGGGGUUUCCGCCCCUUAGUGCUGCAGCUAACGCAUUAAGCACUCCGCCUGGGGAGUACGGCCGCAAGGCUG
rnacentral:rRNA from 1 species